rnacentral:rRNA from 1 species
AACGAACGCUGGCGGCGUGCUUAACACAUGCAAGUCGAACGAUGCCUUCGUGCUUAUUGGCGCACGGGUGAGUAACGCGUGGGAACCUACCCUGUGGUACGCAUUCCCUCCGGUAAACUGUAGCUCAUUCCGCAUGUGUCCCCUGCGGCAAAGAUGUAUGGCUACGUGAUGGGCGCUCGUAGGAUUAGCUUGUUGGUUGGGGAAUGGCCUAGCAAGGCUACGAUGCUUAGCCGGUAUGAGAGUAGGAUCAUCCACGAUGGGACUGAGACACGGACCAGAAUGGGAGGGGGCGCAGCAGUGGGGAAUAUUAGGCAAUGAGGGCAAGCGUGAUAAAGCAAUGUGGGGGAAGUGAGGAAGGGCUUCGGGUUGUGAAGCUGUUUCGCACGCGGCGAGGAUGACGGUAGCGUGAGAAGAAGCCCCGGCUAACUACGUG